AUGGCGUCGAUGGCAUGGAUGUUGGUGCUAUUGCCAUUAGCUGCAUUGGCAACCACUGCCUCGAGCUCACUGGCGAAGCCAGGCUGCCAGGCCCGAUGCGGCGACAUCGACGUCCCCUACCCGUUCGGCAUCGGCGCUGGCUGCUUCCGCCCGGGCUUCGAGAUCAUCUGCAACGACAUGACGCCGUUUCUACCGGGCGCCGUUUCCACCGAGCCCGUGCGCGUGCUGAACCUGACCAUGACGCCGCGCGCGCAGGUCCGGGUGCCGCUGCCUGUGGCGCAUCAGUGCUUCGACGCCGCCGGCAAGGCCACCGCCGGCGGGUUCGACGGCAGGCUGAUGGUGAACAAGCUGGGCGUGUACCGCAUCUCCAACACCGAGAACGAGCUCUUUCUCCUGGGCUGCAACACCCUCGUCUACGCCGGCAGAGAGUCCAAGGUCCAGAACGCAACAGCCAACGGCUACUUCAGCGGGUGCCUGGCCUACUGCAGCACAGCACAGAAGGCGCGGGACGGCGAGUGCGGCAACAUCGGAUGCUGCCACGUCGACAUCUUGCCGUUGCUCACCGACACCAGGAUAAGGUUCAGCAAAUGGCGUCGCGCGCGCGACUUCGCGCCCACCUGCAACUACGCCUUCAUCGUGGAGAGGAAAAACUACAACUUCCGGGCCGCCGAUCUGAAGAGGACGCCGGAGUCAGACCCGGCCAAGCGAUGGAGCAUGCCGCUUUGGCUCGACUGGGCCAUCCGCAACCGCAGUAACAGCCUGUUGUGCCCCGAGGCGGCCAAGACGCCAGGAUACGCUUGCUUGAGCAAGCACAGCGACUGCGAAAAUUCCACCAAUGCGAUGGGAUAUCGAUGAGUGCAAACAUCCGCAAUUACAUUCAUGCUUCGGCAAGUGUACCAACAUGGCUGGAUCUUUCAAGUGCACGUGCCGACAAGGAUACCAAGGAAACGUCACCCAACAAAACGGUUGUGUCAAGUCCACAAACACAGGUGCUCACCAUUGCUUCUUACUUUCCCUACUAUCAACAUGUAUAUAAACUAUCUUAGAUCAAGCACAACAUUUUUAAAACAAAUGUCACCACAUACCCUAAUUGCGUGCCCAUAUGUCUAUUAUUUUGCAGGUUUAAUCAUUGGCCUAUCAGUUUCUAGUGGGCCAACUAUUCUAAUUUUGUUUCUCGCCUCAAAGAUAAUAAUUCGCAAGGUUAAACAUCAAAAGAAACAAAAGUUGAGACGAAAGUUCUUCAAUCAAAAUCGUGGACAAUUGUUGCAAAAAUUGGUAUCUCAUAGGUCAGAUAUUGCAGAGAGGAUGAUCAUUCCUUUAAGGGAUCUAGAAAAGGCCACAAACAAGUUUCAUCCAAGUCGUAAGCUUGGUGGUGGAGGGCAUGGUACUGUAUACAAAGGAAUUUUAUCAGACUUGCAUGUUGUUGCCAUCAAGAGGUCAAAUAUUGUGGUCAAGAGUGAGAUUAACGAGUUUAUAAAUGAAGUUUCCAUACUCUCACAGAUCAAUCAUAGGAACAUUGUAAAGCUUUUUGGAUGUUGUCUUGAGACAGAAGUCCCUUUAUUGGCUUAUGAGUUCAUUUCCAAUGGAACCCUAAGUGAUUAUCUUCACAAGAAACCACAAAGAUCACUACCUUGGCAAGACAUAUUAAGGAUUGCAACAGAAAUUGGCAACGGCCUUUCUUACCUUCACUCGGGUAUUUCUGUCCCUGUAAUACAUAGAGAUAUCAAGUCCACGAAUAUACUUCUUGAUGAUGCCUUGACUGCGAUUGUGUCUGACUUUGGAGCUUCAAGGUACAUUCCUAGAGAUAAAACAACAAUUACAACAACGGUGCAGGGAACGUUAGGAUAUUUAGAUCCUAUGUACUUUUACUGUGGCCGGCUAACAGAAAAAAGUGAUGUUUAUAGCUUUGGGGUUAUUCUUGUUGAGUUGCUUACAAGGAAGAUGCCAAUAAUAUAUAGAUCCUCAACAGGUGAUGGCCUAGUUGCACAAUUUGUUGAACUGCAUGCAGAAGGUAAAUUGGUAGAAAUACUGGAUCCACAUGUAAUGGAGGAGGGAGGUAGCCAAGUUGAAGUAUUAGCUUCUCUAGCUAUGUCGUGCACAAAGCUAAGAUCAGAGGAGCGACCAACCAUGAGGUCAGUGGAGAUGAUACUAGAGGCACUUCAAGGACCCAAAAGGCUUUCUCGGUUUCGGGAUGCAACAUAUGAGGGGAUUUAUUCCACAACGAGAUAUACAUCACCAAUAAGAAGGACAAGCUUAGAGGAUACGAGCAGACAAUAUAGUCAAUAA
rnacentral:rRNA from 1 species